GAAACACUGGUGAAUAAGGGGUGGGCAAGUUCUGGUGUCAGCCGCCGCGGUAAAACCAGCACCUCAAGUGGUCAGGAUGAUUAUUGGGCCUAAAGCAUCCGUAGCUCGUUUUGUAAGUUUUCGGUUAAAUCCAUGCGCUCAACGUAUGGGCUGCCGGGAAUACUGCAUAACUAGGAAGUGGGAGAGGUAGACGGUACUCGGUAGGAAGGGGUAAAAUCCUUUGAUCUAUUGAUGACCACCUGUGGCGAAGGCGGUCUACCAGAACACGUUCGACGGUGAGGGAUGAAAGCUGGGGGAGCAAACCGGAUUAGAUACCCGGGUAGUCCCAGCUGUAAACUAUGCAAACUCAGUGAUGCAUUGGCUUGUGGCCAAUGCAGUGCUGCAGGGAAGCCGUUAAGUUUGCCGCCUGGGAAGUACGUACGCAAGUAUGAAACUUAAAGGAAUUGGCGGGGGAGCACCACGAGGGGUGAAGCCUGCGGUUCAAUUGGAGUCAACGCCAGAAAUCUUACCCGGAGAGACAGCAGAAUGAAGGUCAAGCUGAAGACUUUACCAGACAAGCUGAGAGGUGGUGCAUGGCCGUCGCCAGCUCGUGCCGUGAGAUGUCCUGUUAAGUCGGGUAACGAGCGAGAUCUCUGCCUCUAGUUGCCACCAUUACUCUCAGGAGUAGUGGGGCGAAUUAGCGGGACCGCCGCAGUUAAUGCGGAGGAAGGAAGGGGCCACGGCAGGUCAGUAUGCCCCGAAACUCUGGGGCCACACGCGGGCUGCAAUGGUAGUGACAAUUGGUUCCGAAUCCGAAAGGAGGAGGUAAUCCUCAAACGCUACCACAGUUAUGACUGAGGGCUGCAACUCGCCCUCACGAAUAUGGAAUCCCUAGUAACUGCGUGUCAUUAUCGCGCGGUGAAUACGUCCCUGCUCCUUGCACACACCGCCCGUCGUUUCAUUGAAGUUUGCUUUUAGCGAGGUGACGUCUGAUUGGCGUUAUCGAACUUGAGGUAAGUGACAAGGGAAAAGUCGUAACAAGGUAACCAAGGGCGAAUUCCACAGUGGAUAUCAAGCUUAUCGAUACCGUCGACCUCGAG
rnacentral:rRNA from 2 species